rnacentral:rRNA from 1 species
UACGGAGGGUGCAAGCGUUAUCCGGAUUUACUGGGUUUAAAGGGUGCGCAGGCGGAUAUAUAAGUCAGUGGUGAAAUCUCUAGGCUUAACCUGGAAAUUGCCGUUGAUACUAUAUAUCUUGAAUGUUGUGGAGGUAAGCAGAAUAUGUCAUGUAGCGGUGAAAUGCUUAGAUAUGACAUAGAAUACCUAUUGCGAAGGCAGCUUACUACGCAGAUAUUGACGCUCAUGCACGAAAGCGUGGGGAUCAAACAGG